CCUACGGGGAGCAGCAGGGAGGAAUAUUGGUCAAUGGACGCAAGUCGGAACCAGCCAUGCCGCGUGAAGGAAGACGGCGCUAUGAGUUGUAAACUGCUUUUGUACGAGGGUAAACGCAGAUACGCGUACCUGUCUGAAAGUACCGUACGAAUAAGGAUCGGCUAACUCCGUGCCAGCAGCCGCGGUAAUACGGAGGAUUCAAGCGUUGUCCGGAAUUAUUGGGCGUAAAGAGUUCGUAGGUGGAAUGUUAAGUCCGGUGUUAAAUGCAGAAGCUCAACUUCUGUUCGGCACUGGAUACUGGUAAGCUUGAGCGCGGUAGAGGUAAGGGGAAUUCCUGGUGUAGCGGUGAAAUGCGUAGAUAUCAGGAGGAACAUCGGUGGCGUAGGCGCUUUACUGGGCCGUAAUUGACACUGAGGAACGAAAGCCGGGGUAGCAAAUAGGAUUAGAUACCCGAGUAGUC
rnacentral:rRNA from 1 species